rnacentral:rRNA from 1 species
GAUGAACGCUGGCGGCGUGCUUAACACAUGCAAGUCGAACGAAGCACUUUAUUUGAUUUCCUUCGGGACUGAUUAUUUUGUGACUGAGUGGCGGACGGGUGAGUAACGCGUGGGUAACCUGCCUUGUACAGGGGGAUAACAGUUGGAAACGGCUGCUAAUACCGCAUAAGCGCACAGCAUCGCAUGAUGCAGUGUGAAAAACUCCGGUGGUAUAAGAUGGACCCGCGUUGGAUUAGCUAGUUGGUGAGGUAACGGCCCACCAAGGCGACGAUCCAUAGCCGAACUGAGAGGGGGACCGGCCACAGUGGGACUGAGACACGGCCCAAACUCCUACGGGAGGCAGCAGUGGGGAAUAUUGCACAAUGGGCCAAAGCCUGAUGCAGCCACGCCGCGGGAGCGAAGAAGUAUUUCGGUAUGUAAAGCACUAUCAGCAGGGAAGAUAAUGACGGUACCUUAGUAAGAAGGACCGGCUAAAUACGUG